UGAUAACUGCCCCGGCAGGAAGUGGUUAAAGGAUAAUCUUUGUGGAGAGACUGUCCAAUUGUUUUUUUCCCAGUACAGCUGCAGCAGCCAUUGAUGGCAUUGAGACCAGAUCUUUUCCUUUUGUUUAUGUGAAGGAUCUGGCCUUCAUGAUAACGGACUACGUGGAUCGGCUCGACAGGCAGAAUUGCUCACAUGGCAUGAUGGCUUAAUCCCUGAGAAUGAGGUGUGGGUGAAGAUCGGAGGCAAUGAAGGCGGAAAUUCAUUUAAAAUGAAUUUUCAAAAUUGCCAAUGUUCUUCACCCAAACUCCCUUGUCAACAAAGUGGUAUUCCUCUGCUUAGAAGGAGUAGAGUCUCUGGCCAAUCUGCAACGCUAUGGGAAAUUGCAGAUCUUUCAACUCUCACGUGUCGAGGACGCAUAUUGAGGUUAUUUUGAAUUAUGGAACAGGUUCCUUGGAUUGUGCUGUCAGCUUUCAAGGUCUAUAGACAGGCUUAUCAUGGGAAGGCCUUUGUUGGCAACCACGUUCAAAAGUGCUGCAAGCUUGAAGUUAUAGAAGCCUUAGCAUCAGUUUCAAGAGGAAAGGUUGAGGAGUACCUGAAAGACGUGGAGAACAUUCCAAUUGCAGCACAGAUGCACCUUCUUUGUCAGGCAGCAACCUGUAAUAGCAAUUUCAAGAACAUCUUUCUGAAAUUUGCUGAUGUACAUCAUGCUAUCAGCAAAGCAGAACAAAUUGAAGAAGAGUACAUUACUCGAUCAGACAUCUCCAUCAAAGAAUUCAUGCACACUUAUCGGCAAAUGUUCCCGGAUGAAACACCGAAACUUCACUUACGUCAGGACCUUGCUAUUGAA